rnacentral:rRNA from 1 species
CCUAAAGCUGGGGGUCUAUCCCACCUCAAGCUAAAUACAGGCGAGAGAGCGAGAGCGAACAAGUACCGUGAGGGAGAGAGGAAAAGUACUUUGAAAAGAUAGUUAAACAGUAUGUGAGAUUGCCCAGAGGGAAACGUUUGUAGUUUGACUGACUUGUGGUUAAUCAGCUCGUUCUUUGGACUGUGGGUGCUUGACUUCUAUGUCUGCCAAUAUCACUUAUUCCUGGUGGAAAAAAAAGAAAGGAAGGUAGUCCUUCGGGAUGUUUAUAUACCUUUGGAACAUACACUGUGACUGAGUGAGGAACGCAAUGGAGGCUAUUAUGGCUUCACCUAGUAUGCGUGAAGGGAGGAUGCUAGGGAUUUUCUGCUUGCGGACGUGCUAUGUUACACGAGCUCAUUUGCUUGCUAGAACUGUACCCUACUUUGCUGCUUUGUGUUAUGACUCUGAGUGGGCCUGUCUU